GACGAACGCUGGCGGCGUGCUUAACACAUGCAAGUCGAACGGAAAGGCCCUGCUUUUGUGGGGUGCUCGAGUGGCGAACGGGUGAGUAACACGUGAGUAACCUGCCCUUGACUUUGGGAUAACUUCAGGAAACUGGGGCUAAUACCGGAUAGGAGCUCCUGCUGCAUGGUGGGGGUUGGAAAGUUUCGGCGGUUGGGGAUGGACUCGCGGCUUAUCAGCUUGUUGGUGGGGUAGUGGCUUACCAAGGCUUUGACGGGUAGCCGGCCUGAGAGGGUGACCGGCCACAUUGGGACUGAGAUACGGCCCAGACUCCUACGGGAGGCAGCAGUGGGGAAUAUUGCACAAUGGGCGGAAGCCUGAUGCAGCAACGCCGCGUGCGGGAUGACGGCCUUCGGGUUGUAAACCGCUUUCGCCUGUGACGAAGCGUGAGUGACGGUAAUGGGUAAAGAAGCACCGGCUAACUACGUGCCAGCAGCCGCGGUGAUACGUAGGGUGCGAGCGUUGUCCGGAUUUAUUGGGCGUAAAGGGCUCGUAGGUGGUUGAUCGCGUCGGAAGUGUAAUCUUGGGGCUUAACCCUGAGCGUGCUUUCGAUACGGGUUGACUUGAGGAAGGUAGGGGAGAAUGGAAUUCCUGGUGGAGCGGUGGAAUGCGCAGAUAUCAGGAGGAACACCAGUGGCGAAGGCGGUUCUCUGGGCCUUUCCUGACGCUGAGGAGCGAAAGCGUGGGGAGCGAACAGGCUUAGAUACCCUGGUAGUCCACGCUGUAAACGGUGGGUACUAGGUGUGGGGUCCAUUCCACGGGUUCCGUGCCGUAGCUAACGCUUUAAGUACCCCGCCUGGGGAGUACGGCCGCAAGGCUAAAACUCAAAGGAAUUGACGGGGCCCCGCACAAGCGGCGGAGCAUGCGGAUUAAUUCGAUGCAACGCGUAGAACCUUACCUGGGUUUGACAUGGAUCGGGAGUGCUCAGAGAUGGGUGUGCCUCUUUUGGGGUCGGUUCACAGGUGGUGCAUGGCUGUCGUCAGCUCGUGUCGUGAGAUGUUGGGUUAAGUCCCGCAACGAGCGCAACCCUUGUUCACUGUUGCCAGCACGUUAUGGUGGGGACUCAGUGGAGACCGCCGGGGUCAACUCGGAGGAAGGUGGGGAUGACGUCAAGUCAUCAUGCCCCUUAUGUCCAGGGCUUCACGCAUGCUACAAUGGCUGGUACAGAGAGUGGCGAGCCUGUGAGGGUGCGCGAAUCUCGGAAAGCCGGUCUCAGUUCGGAUUGGGGUCUGCAACUCGACCUCAUGAAGUCGGAGUCGCUAGUAAUCGCAGAUCGGCAACGCUGCGGUGAAUACGUUCCCGGG
rnacentral:rRNA from 1 species